GGAAAAAGAAAAAGGAAACAAAAAGAAAAAGAAAACAGGAAACAGAAAAAAGGAAACAAGAAAAAUAAAAGAAGAAACAAAAAAAGAAAAAGAAAACAAAAAGAAAAAGAAAACAGGAAACAGAAAAAAGGAAAAAAGAAAAAUAAAAGAAGAAACAGGAAAAGAAAAAGGAAACAAAAAGAAAAAGAAAACAGGAAACAGAAAAAAGGAAAAAAAAAAA
rnacentral:lncRNA from 1 species